ACUGCGAAAUGCCGUCUGGCACGACUUCAUAGUCCAGUUCGCCAACACGUCGGAUGAUUUUGUAGGCUCCGAGAUAGCGUCGCAAUAGUUUCUCAUUGAGUCCUAGUCGACGUAUUGGGGUCCAAAUCCAAACACGGUCACCGGGCUGGUACUCGAAGAAGCGUCGUCGGAGGUUGUAGUGUCUGCUGUCGGUGCGCUGCUGGUUCUUGAUCCGCAGGUGGGAGAGCUGUCGGGCUUCUUCAACGCGCUGGAGGCUGUAGACGGCAUGAACGUGCAUGAUGAACCAAGUUGAAGCUCGAAGUGUCGUAAAGUUCCUCCAUUUGAAGGGCAACAACACAACACACGCGAAAUCCAUGACGAAAUGAAAGCUGUCUAAUGGGAUGAAAACCCAUUAUAGGACCCGUUUGUGAGAUGGUAGAGGAACUGUCAAAAUGGUCACAUGUCCCUGGCAGACGAGCCACGAGCGUGUAGACCCUCAAUCAAGGAUGAUCUUAUACCAUAGUGAAGAACGUGAGGCCGUUAUCCUUGACGGCAGAAGAUCGACAGUGGAAAGAGUGAUGGCGGCGACUGGACCAAGUUAGGAAACUGCGUGGAGGAAUAUUCAUUAGGAACUGCAGAUGAAUAACGUGUUUGAAGGCUGGGUACCUCGCUAGUUGACACCUUUUCAAAAGCAAACUCGCCACGACCUUUCCCAGAAGAACUUGACUAUGCUGGAGUGGAAUCACGACGAUUUUUCGGCCCGUCUCGUCACUGUAAACGAGUGCUACGUAUACCUCUGCGAUGCGGAGACCAAAGAAUUGAGCAUGGAGUGGGAACAUUCAUCCUCCACCCCUCACAAAAAGGCGAAGUUCCAGAAAUCUGAAGGGUGAGACACUGAACACCGAUUGCUACUGAAAGCUUCUGGAGAAACUGCUUGAUGCAUUGAAACAAAAAUGUCGCGGCAUAAUCAGCAAAGGCGUUCGUCUCCUGGCCGACAAUGCACCCGUCCAUAUGACCCAAGCAUCCGUUGCAGCCGCCCACCGGUUCGGCUAUGAACCUUUGCAGCAUCCACCUUAUUCGCCUGAUCGUGCACCAAGCGACUUCUUCCUCUUUCCUGAGAUGAAGACACGCCUUCGUGGUCAGCGAUUUGACGACAGAGAGGAUGUCAUUUGCGAGGUGGAACAGUGGUUUUAGAGCACAGCGGAGGACUCCUACCAAGAGGGUUUGAAACGGGUGAAGAAACACUCGUAAAAUGUGUGAUUCUGGAGGGAGACUUCGUGUGAAGAACUAACUUUGACUACUGCAAGUGACUAUUGUAUGUUUUUUUUUUUUUAUUUCAUGGCGAUAAUUAAAACUUUUGGAUACCGUCUCGUAA